UUACGGCCACAUCACGUUGAAGCACCUGUUCCCUUAAGAUCACCGAAGUUGAGUAACGUCGAGCCUGGUCAGUAUCUAAAAGGGUGAUUGCUUGGGAAUACCAUGUGCU